UCGGGAAUAUUGCGCAAUGGAGGAAACUCUGACGCAGUGACGCCGCGUAUAGGAAGAAGGUUUUCGGAUUGUAAACUAUUGUCGUGAGGGAAGAAAUUGACAGUACCUCAGGAGGAAGCUCCGGCUAACUAUGUGCCAGCAGCCGCGGUAAUACAUAGGGAGCAAGCGUUAUCCGGAUUUAUUGGGUGUAAAGGGUGCGUAGACGGGAAAUUAAGUUAGUUGUGAAAUCCCUCGGCUUAACUGAGGAACGUGCAAACUAAAACUGGUUUUCUUGAGUACUGGAGAGGAAAGUGGAAUUCCUAGUGUAGCGGUGAAAUGCGUAGAUAUUAGGAGGAACACCAGUGGCGAAGGCGACUUUUUCUUGGACAGUAACUGACGUUGAGGCACGAAAGUGUGGGGGAGCAAACA
rnacentral:rRNA from 2 species